rnacentral:rRNA from 1 species
UGGGGAAUAUUGGACAAUGGGCGCAAGCCUGAUCCAGCCAUGCCGCGUGAGUGAUGAAGGCCUUAGGGUUGUAAAGCUCUUUUAGCAGGGAAGAUAAUGACGGUACCUGCAGAAAAAGCCUCGGCUAACUUCGUGCCAGCAGCCGCGGUAAUACGAAGGGGGCUAGCGUUGCUCGGAAUUACUGGGCGUAAAGCGCACGUAGGCGGACUCUUAAGUCGGUGGUGAAAUCCUGGAGCUAAACUCCAGAACUGCCUUCGAUACUGGGAGUCUUGAGUUCGGGAGAGGUGAGUGGAACGUCGAGUGUAGAGGUGAAAUUCGUAGAUAUUCGAAAGAACACCAGUGGCGAAGGCGGCUCACUGGCCCGAUACUGACGCUGAGGUGCGAAAGCGUGGGGAGCAAACAGG